GUCUUCUCCAGCUGCAACCAAACGCUGUGCACAUAAUCCAGGCUAGGGUAGCCACAUGUUCCCUCCAGGACUUGGACCCUUGACUUGCGGUGCCUCGGAGAGGUGGCGCUGGCUAGCCUGGGACUUCCAACAUACAGCCUACAUUGCUGGCCUGAGACUUGUGGCAAAAAAGACUUUCAAAAUCUAAUUUGCUCACAUACAUGAACACCUGCCAGGAAGGAAUUUGAGGCCUUUGGUCUAAACAUGGAAAAGCUGAGUUCAUUUGCCCCAGAGGGGGCACCUGCAGGGAAAAGAAAAAAUGGUUUUAACCCUUUCCUUGAGUCAGAAAAUGAGGCCACCAGAUUCUCCUUUCAUCCUUCAAGUAUCAGAAAGGUCUGUGCUGUGAAUUCCACAAAUGAGAUUCAUUGCAAGAUGUGAGGGCAGAGGAAAUCCAUGGAAAUGGAGGAAAUGCUCCCUACAGGAAGCUGUCGUGGAGAGUGAAGGAGAUUCCGGAUGCAUGGUAUCUAGCACAGUGUCUGGCAGACUGAGCCUCCAAAGGCCAGCCUUUGUCUUCCUUAUGCAGAGUGCCACCUGCUUUUCUGUACCAGCAGCCUCCGUCUCUUUACAGAGCCACACAGAGCUGGAUGUGACUGCUGCAUCAUAUUGGAUUCCACUCUGGCCUUGUGUUGGUCGAUCUUUACCCCUUAGCCUUCAUCCAGAGGCAGCCCAAGAAAUAGCUCCGCAUAUCCUGUAUUCCGUUUUUGUAGGGCUAUUGUGGAGACUUGGUCCUCGUGUGAUUUAGGGUACCCAGAUGAAGCUCUGCAUGAAUGUUUAUUUCAGAAAUAGGUGUUAAAGAGAAGCUUUGCUGGGAGUUAUUUUCUCUCUACAAUAAAUAUUAGGCAAUUGAUGCUCCCCCACCCCCACUUCUGCUGCUUGGAAACCCAAAAGAAAAAACCUUGAGGAAAUAAAUGACUUAAACGGAGCAUCCAAUCUCUGGAAGCAUCAAGGGACAAGUAAGCUUCACCUUCUGUCGUGGAGACACUCGCAGCCGAGGGGGAGGUGGAGGGCCAGCGAAGGGCGGUGUCAGGAGGAAGAGCAUGCCGUGGGAGAGCCCAGCAGCCCUCAACAUUAUUUUCUCGAAGCCUUGACAUCUCCCUGGAAUGUAGGAUUUUCCUCCUCUAGAUUUUGGUGAUUGCAGACCAUCCUACAGCCAACCAACCCCCAAGUGUGUGAGCCACCCCAGCCAGGAUCAGCAGAGCCACCUGGAUGGCACACAGCUGACUGCAGAGGCGUGAAUGAGCCAAGACCAGCAGAACUCAAGAGUAAUAAUAAAUACUUAUUGUUUU